CCCUGGCCCCGGGCCAGGGAGGGGAGCGCCCUGCCCUGGGGGUUCUCAUCUGCUCCAUCUUUCCUCCCCAGAGGGUGACCCGGGAGAUGGACCUUUGCUAUUGCAAGAUGGGAAGCCUGUUCCGCUGUGGAUUCCGCCAGACGCUGUUUGCCAGCCAGCUGAUGCGCUACGCGACCUCUACUCUUCAUCCAUCCUUAACCUCCUGCAUUACCCGCUCAGCUGCCUGUUCAUGGCCACACCCGUGCUGAUGCCUCAUGAGUCUGCGGUGGAGCUAGAGAGGGGCACUCAGGACCCAGUGAAGGGCCAGAGGAAUAUGCCAAGUGUUCUGCAGGGCUUCAUGGAGGGCAUCGAGGGUGGUGAGGCCUGAGCUGACCUGGGGAUAAUUGAGCUAUCUGCUUGCUGGUUUACAACCGCGACUCAGAUUCUCUGACCCGAGGCAUUUCUGGACUUGUUUUCAGACCUUGGAGAACAGAGUGGGGAGGGUAGCCAAAUUAAAUUCAGUUUAUUUUAGCAAGCAUUUAUUCAGCCCCUACUGUGUGCUAGACACUUAUAAGACAGAGUAAAAAAACAAAAUGGGGCCUAGCCUGGAGAAACUCACAGUCUGCUGGGGGUGGGGAGGAUUAUACCUGUACGAGGAUGAUAAGUAAAUAGAUGAAAUAAAUACAAAGUAUUGGGGAAGGGGGAUCUCUCA
rnacentral:lncRNA from 1 species